AAGACUCUACUUUCAGGGCUCAUUUCUAUCGUUCAAUACCAGAGAAAUUUCUCCUAACGUGUAGAGGAGCCCUGGAAACCAAAAGGAGGAGGCAAGCAUUCUUUCCUGAGCACGCAGCCGGCUCAGAGCAUGGUGUGCUGCGGCUGCCACUUUCCAUUGACGGUCUUUCUUCUCUUCCUUCGGGAGAGUAAGAAGAAGAGGAUGCAGUCUUAGUGGU
ensembl:snoRNA U3 Small nucleolar RNA U3